rnacentral:rRNA from 1 species
AGUGAACGCUGGCGGUAGGCCUAACACAUGCAAGUCGAACGGCAGCACAGUAAGAGCUUGCUCUUACGGGUGGCGAGUGGCGGACGGGUGAGGAAUACAUCGGAAUCUACUUUUUCGUGGGGGAUAACGUAGGGAAACUUACGCUAAUACCGCAUACGACCUACGGGUGAAAGCAGGGGAUCUUCGGACCUUGCGCGACUGAAUGAGCCGAUGUCGGAUUAGCUAGUUGGCGGGGUAAAGGCCCACCAAGGCGACGAUCCGUAGCUGGUCUGAGAGGAUGAUCAGCCACACUGGAACUGAGACACGGUCCAGACUCCUACGGGAGGCAGCAGUGGGGAAUAUUGGACAAUGGGCGCAAGCCUGAUUCAGCCAUACCGCGUGGGUGAAGAAGGCCUUCGGGUUGUAAAGCCCUUUUGUUGGGAAAGAAAAGCAGCAGGUUAAUACCCCGCUGUUCUGACGGUACCCAAAGAAUAAGCACCGGCUAACUUCGUG